rnacentral:rRNA from 1 species
UCCUUUAACGAGGAUCAACUGGAGGGCAAGUCUGGUGCCAGCAGCCGCGGUAAUUCCAGCUCCAGAAGCGUAUAUUAAAGUUGUUGCAGUUAAAAAGCUCGUAGUUGGAUCUGGGUCGCAUGGCUACGUGCCGUAGCUUGUAUUCUCGGCUUGGCUACGGUUGGUCGGGUUUGUUAGUCGGCUUCGUAGCUGUGCAGCCUUUCUGCCGUGUCUGUUUCGACAGGUGCUGAUGGUCAAUCCGUUGGCAUGCUUCCGGAUGCCUUUAACCGGGUGUCGGGGGCGGACGGCACGUUUACUUUGAACAAAUUUGAGUGCUCAAAGCAGGCCUAUGCCUGAAAAAUCUUGCAUGGAAUAAUGGAAUAGGACUUCGGUUCUAUUUUGUUGGUUUUCGGAUCCGAAGUAAUGGUUAAGAGGGACAGACGGGGGCAUUUGUAUGGCGGUGUUAGAGGUGAA